rnacentral:rRNA from 1 species
CGACCGGCGCACGGGUGAGUAACGCGUAUCCAACCUGCCGUCUACUCUUGGCCAGCCUUCUGAAAGGAAGAUUAAUCCAGGAUGGGAUCAUGAGUUCACAUGUCCGCAUGAUUAAAGGUAUUUUCCGGUAGACGAUGGGGAUGCGUUCCAUUAGAUAGUAGGCGGGGUAACGGCCCACCUAGUCAACGAUGGAUAGGGGUUCUGAGAGGAAGGUCCCCCACAUUGGAACUGAGACACGGUCCAA